GCUCGCUUUGGCAGCACAUAACUAAAACUGGAACAAUACAGAGAAGGUUAGCAUGGCUCCUGUACAAGGAUGGCACACAAAACAAGGAACUAGAGAGAACUCUU